CAGUUACAAAGUUCAGGCACAGAGGAUGGACCGUAUAACACAGUUACAAAGUUCAGGCACAGAGGAUGGACAGUAUAACACAGCUACAAAGCUCAGGCACAGGAUGGACAGUAUAACACAGUUACAAAGUUCAGGCACAGAGGAUGGACCGUAUAACACAGCUACAAAGUUCAGGCACAGAGGUGGACAGUAUAUCAGGUAUCAAAUUAAACUCCUCUCAAGGCAGGUUGCGGGCUAGACAGUUCCACGCUCACAGUUCAACGAUAAAAACAAACUGCGAUGUUGGCUGAUGGAAUCAUUAAAAAUGCAGUCAUGGUGAUGUGGCUAAUCAGUAACCUGAAAACAAGCUGAAGCACCCAGAUGUUGCAUAUGGAAAUUAGUGUUUGUCUUAGUUAAUACGUUCCCAUUUGCAUAUGUGUUAUCUGUGACUGAAUGUAGGCUAGUGUAAAAACCAUGCUAUAGUGUUAUCUGUGACUGAAUGUAGGCUAGUGUAAAACCAUGCUAUAGUGUUAUCUGUGACAAUGUAGGCUAGUGGAAAACCAUGCUAUAGUGUUCUGGACUGAAUGUGGCUAGUGGAAAACCCUGCUAGUGUUAUCUGUGACUGAAUGAGGCUAGUGGAAAACCAUGCUAUAGUGUUAUCUUUGACUGAUGUAGGCUAGUGUAAAACCCUGCUAUAGUGUUAUCUGUGACUGAAUGUAGGCUAGUGGAAACCAUGCUAUAGUGUUAUCUGUGACUGAAUGUAGGCUAGUGGAAAACCAUUCUAUGUGUUAUCUGUGACUGAAUGUAGGCUAGUGUAAACCAUGCUAUGUGUUAUCGUGACUGAAUGUAGGCUAGUGGAAAACCAUGCUUAGUGUUAUCUGUGACUGAAUGUGGCUAGUGAAAACCAUGCUAUGUGUUAUCUGUGACGAUGUAGGCUAGUGUAAAAACCAUGCUAUAGUGUUAUCUGUGACUGAAUGUAGGCUAGUGGAAAACCAUGCUAUAGUGUUAUCUGUGACUGAAUGAAGGCUAGUGGAAAACCAUGAUAAGGACAUGAGUAUUUCCAGGGAGAAAGGCCAAGGACAGGAGUGUCUUCCUAAAAAAAGGUACAGGAGGGCACAACAAUGUAACAUUUAAGAUCACAUCAGUAUCAUCACAACCGAAUGAACGAACCCUUCGAUAAAAAGGCUGAUUAUUUCAUAAAAUAGGUCGACGAAAGUUUAAAAGAAACAUGUAACUGCCAGUCUCUUGUAUAGAGUACAACUGGGUAUAUGUGGUUAGUGUUCCGCAUGAAUUCUAGAUUCUAAUUCUAUGGUUCUGGAUCCCUGGGUUGAGAAUGUCAACCUGUACCAUGUGGUAGUUUGUACCAGGAAGUAUACUGCACGUGGAACACAAGCAAUAGAAGGUGACAAGACAGCAUGUAGGCCAAUCGGCUAGAACUGUAGGUUAAACAUCAAUACGUACCCUGGUUAAAACAUUCAACGGUUGGUCAAAAGUAGUGCACUAUAUAGGGAAUAGGGUGCUAUUUGGGAGACAACCUCCAAGGCACAUUCACUGCCUGCCUGUCAGAGGCUGAUAUCAUACUGGUGGAAAGUACAGUGCAUAGAUACAAUGUAGGGUUGGAGAACUACAGUAACUUUCUAAAACUUGACAGAUUUUUCCAGAAAUUCCAGUAGAAGAUUCCUGGGUUUUCUGCUUAUUCCCUCCCGAUUCCAGGAAUCUUACAACAGGAAUUUCUGGAAAACUGGGGAAUUUUCAGGAAGUUACAACCCUAAUACAAUGUCAUCAUCAUGAUCAUCAUAACAAAUAGGAUAUCACAUCAACAUCCUGAACAUACAUGUAUAAUGGCACUACUAGGCUUUAUCUUAAUACAUGGACUGUCUAGCCUGGUCCCAGAUCUGUUUGUGCGGUCUUGCCAACAUCUUUGGUCAUUGUCGUGCCUUGGCAUGCCAGAUCUGGGAUCAGGCUAGAGGUUAACAUUGGGAUAGCUGCAACACACAAAUGGACCAGCAGUAGA
rnacentral:lncRNA from 1 species